rnacentral:rRNA from 1 species
UACGGAGGGGGCUAGCGUUGUUCGGAAUUACUGGGCGUAAAGCGUACGUAGGCGGCUUUGUAAGUUAGAGGUGAAAGCCCGGGGCUCAACUCCGGAAUUGCCUUUAAAACUGCAUCGCUAGAAUUGUGGAGAGGUAAGUGGAAUUCCGAGUGUAGAGGUGAAAUUCGUAGAUAUUCGGAAGAACACCAGUGGCGAAGGCGACUUACUGGACACAUAUUGACGCUGAGGUGCGAAAGCGUGGGGAGCAAACAGG